AAAAAAAAAAAAAAAAAAAAAAUUCAGGAAUUAAAACGAACAUUUGUAUUUGUACAUACGUAACUUACUUUUAAUAUUGAGUUUUUUGGAUUUCC
rnacentral:ribozyme from 14 species